UAACGAACGAGACUCCGUCCUGCUAACUAGUCGUAGCGUCACUCUUGCGCUGCGGUUUCUUCUUAGAGGGACUGGCGGCAUUUAGCCGCACGAGAUGGAGCAAUAACAGGUCUGUGAUGCCCUUAGAUGUUCUGGGCUGCACGCGUGUUACACUGAAGGGAUCAGCGUGUCCUCCCUGACCGAGAGGUCCGGGUAACCCGCUGAACCCCCUUCGUGGUAGGGAUCGGAGCUUGCAAUUAUUCUCCGUGAACCAGGAAUGCCCAGUAAGCGCAAGUCAUAAGCUUGCGUUGAUUACGUCCCUGCCCUUUGUACACACCGCCCGUCGCUA
rnacentral:rRNA from 1 species